GAGCUGUAAGGUAUCAGGGAUUUUCCUGUUACAACACAAAGGGAUCAGCUAGAUUAGCUUCUGCAGAGGUGCAAAUGCAUGCUAUAUCAAGAAGACACAUUUCUCUGGAGAGCAUCUGCUCCUGCAGUUUCCAAAGACAUCCUGUAUUUGCAAGUGUCUCUUCUUGGACGUGAACCUGUGAUUUGUCUGCGAGUUUCAUUGUCUUACUGGAAUUGGACAUUAAAAUUAUCUUUUACUGU